GUGCUCAUUUUAACAGUACAUACACUACAAUUGGAAUGAUACAGAGAAGAUUGGCAUGGCCCCAGCAUAAGGAUGACACAUAAAUUCAUGAAGUGUACCAUAUAAAA
rnacentral:snRNA from 1 species